rnacentral:rRNA from 1 species
GACGAACGCUGGCGGCGUGCUUAACACAUGCAAGUCGAACGGAAAGGCCCUGCUUUUGUGGGGUGCUCGAGUGGCGAACGGGUGAGUAACACGUGAGUAACCUGCCCUUGACUUUGGGAUAACUUCAGGAAACUGGGGCUAAUACCGGAUAGGAGCUCCUGCUGCAUGGUGGGGGUUGGAAAGUUUCGGCGGUUGGGGAUGGACUCGCGGCUUAUCAGCUUGUUGGUGGGGUAGUGGCUUACCAAGGCUUUGACGGGUAGCCGGCCUGAGAGGGUGACCGGCCACAUUGGGACUGAGAUACGGCCCAGACUCCUACGGGAGGCAUCAGUGGGGAAUAUUGCACAAUGGGCGGAAGCCUGAUGCAGCAACGCCGCGUGCGGGAUGACGGCCUUCGGGUUGUAAACCGCUUUCGCCUGUGACGAAGCGUGAGUGACGGUAAUGGGUAAAGAAGCGCCGGCUAACUACAUG